UGCUAUAGAGAAGUCGUUCGUGAAUGGAAGAGUCAAUCGAUGAGACAAACUUCAUCGUCUCAUUUUAAGAAAUUGCCACAGCCUCGCCAACCUUCAGCAACCACCACCCUGAUCAGUCAGCAGCCAUCAACACUGAGGCAGGACCUUCCACCAGCAAAAGACUACAACUUGCUGAAGAUUCAAGUGACAGCAUUUUUUAGCAACAGAGUUUUUUAAAUUAAGGUAAUGUGAUCUAUUCCUGGCUUGGGAUCCAGUGCUCCAACAGUGAGUCUCACUCCUGCUCCUGUGUUCGAGUAUCUUGUCCCACUACAGAAUAGAAUGUGAUGACCCCCUGGCAGAGAGCCUGUGCUGAUAGCCAUCAUCAAUGACAGCUGAAAGAUCAAGGUAUAGGGCAUUGUUCCAGUCUGUGAUACACAUCCAGUAAAAUGAAAGGACCAUCAGGAACAAAGACCAGAUGUCUGCCCCCACCUGGAGGCUAGCUGCUGCCUCCACCUGGAGACCAGCCCCUAUAUAACUGGCCUGUAGUCUCUGUUCUGUAAGAUGGUUUUUUUCAGACAUUAGUUUGCCAUCUUCCCUCUUGCUGGCAAGCUGUAAUAAAAAACCCUUUAUCUCCUACCACCUUGCCUCU
rnacentral:lncRNA from 1 species